rnacentral:rRNA from 1 species
GACGAACGCUGGCGGCGUGCUUAACACAUGCAAGUCGAACGGAAAGGCCCUGCUUGCAGGGUACUCGAGUGGCGAACGGGUGAGUAACACGUGGGUGAUCUGCCCUGCACUUCGGGAUAAGCUUGGGAAACUGGGUCUAAUACCGGAUAGGAGCCAUCUUUAGUGUGGUGGUUGGAAAGUUUUUUCGGUGUAGGAUGAGCUCGCGGCCUAUCAGCUUGUUGGUGGGGUAAUGGCCUACCAAGGCGGCGACGGGUAGCCGGCCUGAGAGGGUGUACGGCCACAUUGAGACUGAGAUACGGCCCAGACUCCUACGGGAGGCAGCAGUGGGGAAUAUUGCACAAUGGGCGCAAGCCUGAUGCAGCGACGCCGCGUGGGGGAUGAAGGCCUUCGGGUUGUAAACUCCUUUCGCUAGGGACGAAGCUUUUUUGUGACGGUACCUAGAUAAGAAGCACCGGCUAACUACGUG